CGGGGUACAGCUCAGUGAUAGAGUGCAUGCUUAGCACGCAUGAGGUCCUGGGUUCGGCCCCCAGUACCUCCA
rnacentral:tRNA from 1 species